rnacentral:rRNA from 1 species
GAUGAACGCUGGCGGCGUGCCUAAUACAUGCAAGUCGAGCGAACAGACGAGGAGCUUGCUCCUCUGACGUUAGCGGCGGACGGGUGAGUAACACGUGGAUAACCUACCUAUAAGACUGGGAUAACUUCGGGAAACCGGAGCUAAUACCGGAUAACAUGUUGAACCGCAUGGUUCAACAGUGAAAUACGGUCUUGCUGUCACUUAUAGAUGGAUCCGCGCCGCAUUAGCUAGUUGGUAAGGUAACGGCUUAUCAAGGCAACGAUGCGUAGCCGACCUGAGAGGGUGAUCGGCCACACUGGAACUGAGACACGGUCCAGACUCCUACGGGAGGCAGCAGUAGGGAAUCUUCCGCAAUGGGCGAAAGCCUGACGGAGCAACGCCGCGUGAGUGAAGAAGGUCUUCGGAUCGUAAAACUCUGUUAUUAGGGAAGAACAAAUGUGUAAGUAACUAUGCACGUCUUGACGGUACCUAAUCAGAAAGCCACGGCUAACUACGUG